AUUUCAAAUGCAUCUAUAACAUCUGAUACAAGUAUUCUAUAUGUAUUAGGUACUACUACGGUGGUAGCAGGUGACCCCUCCUUUAAUAAUCAGAUUUCAUAAAUGUACAGGGUCCAUUUUGACCCAAGACAACAAUCCAGACUAAGAAUUUACCAAAGAUUGACCCCCUGAUCUAUGAUUCGUAGAUGUGGGAGAGGUGAGCACCUAUCAGUUCCUGCUGCUGUCCUUCACCCCUCAGUGCAGACUUCUGACCAUCGCUUAGGCCAGGAAGAAGUCAGCCAAGUUCAUCGCCAUGCAACGCACUACUGAUUGAGGAGACCAUGAGAAGGGAGUAGGCCACCUGACCAACACCAUUGCUGUGUGUGGUUAAAACCUCUCUAGGCUAGGCGUGCCGCUAGCGACCCACCUCGACAACAUCCGGUGAAAUUGCAGAGCGCCAAAUUCAAAUGACAGAAAUAGUCAUAACAAACAUUCAUAAAAAUACAAGUGUUAUAUAUCGACAUAAAGAUUAACUUCUUCUUAAUCCAGCCGCUUUGUCAGAUUUCAAAAAGGCUUUACGGCGAAAGCAUACCAUGCGAUUAUCUGAAGACAGCGCCCCGCUUACAAAAGCAUACAAACAUUUUCCAACCAAGUAGAGGAGUCACGAAAGUCAGAAAUAGCGAUAAAUGAAUCACUUACCUUUGAAGAUCUUCAUCUGGUUGCAAUCACAAGGGUCCCAGCAACAUAAUAAAUGGUCAUUUUGUUCGAUAAAG
rnacentral:lncRNA from 1 species